rnacentral:rRNA from 1 species
UACGGAGGGUGCGAGCGUUGUCCGGAAUCACUGGGCGUAAAGGGCGCGUAGGCGGCCUGAUAAGUAGGGGGUGAAAUCCUGCGGCUUAACCGCAGGGCUGCCUUCUAAACUGUCAGGCUAGAGCACAGUAGAGGCAGGUGGAAUUCCCGGUGUAGCGGUGGAAUGCGUAGAGAUCGGGAAGAACAUCAGUGGCGAAGGCGGCCUGCUGGGCUGUUGCUGACGCUGAGGCACGAAGGUCAGGGGAGCAAACGGG